ACGUAGGUAGACGCGGUUCCAAAGUCCUUACGUCUUUCGAGCUCCUGUCGUGGCAGCUGGUGGAGCUACGGCUGUGGUUGGGAACGGGUCAGAGCCCCUAAGUCUGGUGCUCCCCAGUCUCCAUAGGAAAAAAGGAGCCCUUGAGUGUGAACACGGGACGGGGGCGGGGUCUUUUCGAAGUAAGGGGUGGAGCCUGAACUGACCGGUGACAGUGAAAGCCGCACCUGGUUGGUGGAAGGAGUGGAGCCCGGAUCUCCCGGGUCCCAGAGGAAGCGGAAGUGCUGGGAUCUGGACACUCACCUGUGGAACCUCUGCAUACAGGGUUCCGGACGUGAGUCACACAGACCUGGACUUGAACCUCAGGUUCCGUCUUUCAUAGGCGUGAGACCUUGGGCAAGUCACUCCACCUCCCCAAGCUUCACCUGGUUCGUCUGUAAACAGGAGUAAUAGCAGCAGCUCUGGCAGCCUUGCAAGGUUGUCCUGAGGAUUGGAUGAGCCAUGCCCAUGGAGUGCUCAUGGGCGUCACAAUGUGGAGAUUGGCAGUAGGAGAAGUCAGCCGGCUGCCCAAGGGUCCCACUGUAGGUUUGUGGGCCAGCCACGGCUAGUAGGCCCAGGUCUUCUGGAGAUCCUCCCAUCCCACGGCUGCU